rnacentral:rRNA from 1 species
UGGGGAUCUUCCGCAAUGGGCGAAAGCCUGACGGAGCAAUACCGCGUGAGGGAAGAAGGCUCUUGGGUUGUAAACCUCUUUUCUCAGGGAAGAAUAAAUGACGGUACCUGAGGAAUAAGCAUCGGCUAACUCCGUGCCAGCAGCCGCGGUAAUACGGAGGAUGCAAGCGUUAUCCGGAAUGAUUGGGCGUAAAGGGUCCGCAGGUGGUAGUGUAAGUCUGCUGUUAAAGAGUCACGCUCAACGUGAUAAAAGCAGUGGAAACUACACAACUAGAGUACGGUAGGGGCAGAAGGAAUUCCUGGUGUAGCGGUGAAAUGCGUAGAUAUCAGGAAGAACACCGGUGGCGAAAGCGUUCUGCUAGACCUGUACUGACACUGAGGGACGAAAGCUAGGGGAGCGAAAGGGAUUAGAUACCCCUGUAGUC